rnacentral:lncRNA from 1 species
CCUCUCUCUUAUCUUCAUCAUAAUCUUCAUUUUCCAGUUCUUUCUUAAAACAAAACGACGACGUUACACAAACCUCCCACCAAACCCUUUUUCUCUCCCCAUCCUAGGCCAUCUCCAUCUCCUAAAAGCCCCGGUCCACCGAACCUUCCACCGCCUCUCUCAAAAACACGGCCCUAUUUUCUCUCUCUGGUUCGGUUCGCAGCGCGUGGUCAUAGUCUCAUCCCCGUCCGCUGUCCAAGAGUGUUUCACAAGAAACGACAUCGUUUUGGCAAACCGUCCUUCACUGCUCCUAUUCAAGCACAUAGGCUACAACAGCACGACCAUCUCAACCUCUCCAUACGGCGACCACUGGCGCAACCUCCGCCGCAUCGGUGCCAUCGAGAUUUUCUCCUCCGCUCGACUCAACACAUUCGCAAACACACGAAAAGACGAAGUCAAACACCUCAUCUGCAAACUUGCACAAAACUCGGUGCAUGAGUUUGCGAAGGUGGAGUUGAAGUCUAUGUUCACUGAGCUAACCUUUAACAUCAUAAUGACAAUGGUGGCGGGGAAGAGGUACUAUGGGGUUGACGUGUCGGUGGACAAGGAAGAGGCCAAGCAGUUCAGGCAGAUUAUGAAAGAGGUUUUUGCUCAUAGUGGGGCAGUGAACCCAGCAGAUUUCUUGCCCAUUUUGAAUUGGAUUGGGAGCAAUGCUUAUGAAAAGAGGGUGAUGAAGUUGGCUAAGAAGACUGAUUCGUUUUUGCAAGGUCUGAUUGAUGAGCAAAGGAGUAAGGGUAAAAAUGGAACUAUGAUCGACCAUUUGCUUUCUCUGCAGGACUCACAGCCUGACUAUUAUACUGACCAACUCAUCAAGGGCUUUAUACUGGUUAGUUGAGAAUUCUAUCUCAUGCAUUACAUUAUAAUUAAUAAAGUUUUUAUUUAUUUAUAAUUAAUAUAGAGUAGGUAGGGAGUUGGUGGUUGGAUUCAUUGAAUUGAUUAAUCCAUACUAAAUUAAUACCAAUAGCGUUAUUUGUAUAAUAUUUAUUUACUAUUCUGUUAAUUAUAUCUCUAAUAGACCCGCAAGUAUACGUGGGAUUCACUUAGAGUAGAGGACAGUACAAAUAGCAGCAUCCAAUGUAAAUGUUGCACCUAGGCACUCAGUUAAUUAUAUAUUUAAGAACAACAACAGUGAUAAGAAAAAGUUGUUCUGCAUUUCAUUGGCUAACUUUCUCUGUAAUUUUCACAAGAAUUACAAAAUAAACAUUCAAAUUAGCUGACACAACCGAUAAACAUGUUACGUAUUUCAUGCUCUUUUCUUCUGAACUUAGUAAUAAUAAUAAAGUAAUUUUUAGGUGCUGUUAUUGGCUGGCACUGAUACAUCAUCAGUCACACUGGAAUGGGCCCUGUCUCAUCUACUUAACAAUCCACAUGUGCUAAGAAAGGCUAGAGCUGAACUGGAUGCUCAACUCGACCAAGAACACUUAGUUGAUGAACAAAAUAUCUCUAAACUACCCUACCUUCAAGGCAUUAUAUCAGAGACGCUGCGGUUGUGCCCAGCCGCCCCGAUGCUAGUACCACAUUUUGCAUCUGAUGACUGCACUAUUGGGGGAUUCGACGUUCCAUGUGGCACAAUGGUAUUGGUGAAUGCAUGGGCCAUACAUAGAGAUCCACAGUUGUGGGAUGAUCCUGAAAUGUUCAAGCCUGAGAGGUUCAAAAGUGGUGAGGAUCUGUCACACAAGCUCAUGCCAUUUGGAAUGGGGAGGAGAGCUUGCCCUGGAUCAGGCUUGGCGCAACGUGUGGUGGGCUUGACCUUGGGGACAUUGAUCCAAUGCUUUGAGUGGAAGAGAGUUGACGAGGAGGAGAUUGACAUGACUGAAGGUAAAGGACUCACCAUGCCAAAAGCUGUACCUUUGGAGGCUCUGUGUAAAACCCGCUCUAUUGUGAACAAGCUUCUACCUUGAUCCUAUGCAUGAAUUAGCUAGUCUUCCAAUAAAUUCAUCUUAACUAGUAUGUGUUGUAUUAUUGCAAGUGUAAGUGUUCAUGUUACCUUUUCUUUUUAUAUGAGUGGUCAUGAGCUUUUGCGUGGCCAAUCAUUUGUAUCUUUGUACGUAAGGUUUGGAAGAGAAAUAAGGCUUUUCUUCCACUGUGUUUUCUUGUGAAGAAGGGAAGAAGACUUUGUCAAACAAGCUCUGAUCAGGUCAUGGCAAAGGAUUUUGGGAAUCUUAGCAAAGUUCUGGUGCCUGCGAUGAGAAUGGAAAAAAAUCAUUGAAAUAUGAAGCGAUGUAGCAAUCAUAUACCCUAAAAUCAUUGAAAUAUGAAGCGAUUUUGGAAAUCCUCAAUGCUCUCUCUUAUGCUUCCCUUUUUAUUUACCGACGUGAAGGCAGCGUUAUUUACUUUCUUGUGUAUGUUGACAACCUUGUUGUUACAGAAAAUAAUGCCUCACUUGUUUCUUAGUUUGUUCAUGCUCUUGCUGGGAGGUUCUCUAUCAAGGAUCCAGGAUCCCUUAAUUAUUUUCUCGGUGUUAAAGUUGUGCCUACUACCACUGGUCUUUUUUUUGUCUCAACACAAGUAUAUCUGUGAUCUUUUGAGCAAGGCCCACAUGGAUGAUGCAAAGGAAGUCAGUACACCAAUGACCACAUCCGAUUCUCUCGCGCUUCAUGAUGGUUCUCCUCCCACUAACGCCAGUUGGUGGUCUUCCAGGGACAGACCCAUGAUUUCAAACUUGACUGGGGCUGACUUUACCUUACAUAUAAACAUACUAAGUAGAUAAAAAACUUGAUAGUACGAUAUAAUUUCAUUGAUAACAAAAAAUUAAUAAUACACAUACUCAAGGGGGGACAUAAUAAGCCUUACCUCUCAAAUAACACUAUAUAAGUUGCACCCUUCGAGUCUUCAUAGAAUUAAAAUCAUUAAUUAUCGAUUCAUUUUCUAUAUUAUUAGCAAAUUAUCUUUCAAUGUGAAGUUAACAUACAAUUAGCAAGAAAUUCAUCACCUGUCUUGUUUCGAAUACGAUUUUUGAUAAGUCUCAUACAAGAAAAUGUUCAUUUUGUUCUUGCUGCAAAAACCAGGAAGAGUUAGCACCAAACGAAUCAAUCUGUCAAUCAAGUAGUAUUUUUGUGCUAAUCUUAUUCCACUAAGCGCUCAAGUAAAGGAUUCCUUGGGUUGUAGGCUGCAACUUUCCUAUUCUCCUUUUUAUUCUCCACUUGCAAUGCUAUGCAAACAAAGGAUUCCUUGGGAGGGUAGGAUAUUCAAUUGGAUGGCUGGGGUAUAUAUAUAUAUUUUUUGGGAUUUUAAAAGCCACCUGUGUUGUAGCCUAGGUUAGCCAAAGCCAUGUUUCGUCCUUGUGGUCUUCAAUAUCUCAGUCUCACUCACCUCGACAUCUCAUUUGCUAUCAACAAGCUAUCUCAAUUCAUGCAUCAGCCAUCUGACAUUCGUUGGCUAGCUUUGCAGCGUCUUCUUCGUUACCUCAAAGGCACCAUCUACCAUGAUCUUCUUCUCAAACACUCUCGUACCACUACCUUGUUUGAUUUUUCUGACGCGGAUUGGGUUGACAACUGUGACGAUUGAACAUCCACCACAGCCUAUGUUGUCUAUCUUGGCGGUAAUCUCAUUUCCUGGAGCUCCUGCAAACAACGAGCCAUUGCUUGCUCAUCCACCAAAGCUGAGUACUGUGUCAUUGCUUGCAUCACCGUUGAACUUGCUUGGAUCAAAUCUCUGCUUCGCGAACUUAGUGUUAUGCCCUCAUCCAUGCCUGCCAUUUCUUGUGAUAAUAUUGGUGCCACCUUCUACUAUGCCAAUCCUGUUCUCCACUCUCACAUGAAACACUUUGCAAUUGAUUUUCAAUUUGUUAGUGAUUUGGUCACUCGUGGGCUCCUUUAGGUAUCUAAUGUUUCCAAUAUUGAUCAACUCACUGAUGCCCUCACAAAGCCUUUGUCUCUCCACCGUUUUCAACUUCUCCGGUUCAAGAUUGGUGUUGUUGAUGAUGCCACCAUCUUGCGGGGGCGUAUAAGGGAACCACCGCAGUCAAUGCAAAUCAAUGCCUCAUCUCCAGCAAUCUUAUUGCUGCCAAAUAAGGCUCUUUCAGUAGCUCCAUCAUCAACUCCUCAGAAUCAAUCAAAGGCUUUCCCUUCCUAAUUUAUCUUUAUGUUGCCUUUGUAUAUUAACUCUAAUUAAUUUUAUAUUCAACCACAUAUCUACUUACUCUAAUUAACAUCAUCAACUAUGUAUAUAAAUGGUGUACUGCUAAUUAUAUUAUUCAUCGAGUGAAUACAAAAACAUCCUUCCAAUACCAUUAUUCACAUCUCCCUCGUAGCCAUGCAAAUAUGAUCCAGUACUUAAAACAAGUAUAGCUAGGCAAUUCUCCCUCACGUCCCUCUUCUUUAUAAAUACCAAAAAUCCACCACCCAAAAUCAAACUUAUAUAUCAAUAAAUAGCAACCAAUAACCAAAACAAACCAUGGAACAAGAGGCAUCUUCUUCUACACAACGUCCCUCUUUCUUAUCUUCAUCGUCGUCUUUACUUUCAAGUUUUUUCUUCAAACAAAACGACUAUGUUACACCAACCUCCCGCCAAGCCCGCUUUCUCUUCCAGUCCUCGGCCAUCUCUAUCUCGUAAAACCCAGUCUACCAAACCUUCCACCGGCUCUCCCAAAAACACGGCCCGAUCCAGCGCGUGGCCAAUGGUCAUAGUUUUCAUCCUCGUCCGCUGUGCUGUCCAAGAGUGUUUCACCAAAAAUGACGUUGUUUCGGCAAACCGUCCUUCACUGCUCCUAAGCAAGCACUUAGGCUACAACAACACCAUCGUCACAACCUGCCCACACGGCGAUCAUUGGCGCAACCUCCGGCGCAUCGGCGCCAUCGAGAUCUUCCCCUCCGCUCGACCCAAUGCAUUCGCGGACGUGCGAAAAGACAAAGUCAAAUACUUAAUACGCAAACUUUCACAAAACUCGAUUCAUGGUUUUGCAAAGGUGGAGUUGAAGUUUGUUCUCUAAGCUGACCUUUAACAUCAUAAUGACAAUGGUUGCGGAGAAGAGAUACUACGGUAACGGCGACGACGUGUCGGUGGACAAGGAAGAGGCCGGGCAGUUCUGGCAGAUUAUGAAGGAGAUUUUUGCUCAUAGCAAAGCAGCGAACCCAGCAGAUUACGAAGGAGGCUUUACAAGGUCUGAUUGAUGAGCAAAUGACAAAGGGUAAAAAUGGAACUAAUAUAACAUGAUCGAUCAUUUGCUUUCCCCUGCAGGAGACUCAUCCUGAUUAUUAUACUGACCAACUCAUCAAGGGCCUUAUACUGGUUAGUUUAAGAUUAUAUCUACUGCAUUACAUUACAUUUUUAUAAAGUUGGUGACUUUUUUUUUUUGCUAAUACAAAAGUAAUUAUUAGGUCAUUUUAUUGGCUGGUAUCGAUACAUCAUCAGUGACAUUGGAAUGGGCCAUGUGUCAUCCACUCAAUAAUCCAUAAGUGCUAAGAAAGGCUAGAGCUUAAUUGGAUGCUCAUCUACUAGUCCAACAACACUUAGGCCCCGUUUUGUUUAUGGAAAAUGAGGCUUAGGAAUGGAAAAUCAAUUGAUUUUUCAUGUUUGAUAAGUUCAGGUAUGGGAAAUGAUUGUCUGACACAUAAAAAAUAGGUGGGAAAGUGCAGUCAUCCUCCUAACUUAGGUUUUGUUUUCCCUCUUCAUGAGAAAGUUUGGGAAAAUGAGUCAACAGCUCAUUUUUUAUGACCAUUUUGUCCCUAUUAACAAUUUGGAAUUACAAUAUAUAUCAUUAAAUGCACUCUUUUUAUAUUUGAUUUAAUAUGGGUAUAAUUGAAAAAUUAUACAAACUUUGUUUUCCAUUCCUAUUCAAAACAAACAUGGAACAUGAAAUAAAGUGAAAUUUCUCAGUUACUUUCCCGACAUUACCAAACGUGAGAAAUGAAUAUUCCAUUUCCCAUCCCUUAGGAAAUGACAUGAGAAGUGAUUUCCCCUCAAAUCCGUUCCGUGAACCAAACGAGACCUUAGACUUAGUGGAUGAACUAAAUAUCUCUAAACUACCCUACAUUAAAAUUCUGUUGGAGGAGAUAGAAAAAUUCAUUAAAAUAAGAAUCCAUGUUAACUAGCAAUACUAUAUCCUAAAAAACAUAAAUAUGCUAUCCAUCUACUACAUUACCGAUGAACUAGUAGCAUCCAAGAAUUUUUUUCAGAUUUGGGAUCUAAAUUUGUUUGGCUUAAACCCGGUGGUAAAUCUAAACUAUAAAGAAUAUUUUGGCUAAAUUUUAACGGUAAUCUAAACCCGCUACUCUCCCACCUUCAUGAUAAUCUAAUUUGUAUAUAAAUGAUAACAUGCAUGUCUUCCAAUCAAAAUAAUUUUCAAACUCAAAAAGUUUCAGUAAAAAUAUAGGGAUUUUGUAAACCAAAAUUUGCAGUUUAUUUUUUAUUUUUUGUUCAGGGUGUUGAACCCGUCAUUUCACCCAAGAAACAAAUUGAAGAGCUUGUUUAGUAACGUUUUCUGAAAAUUUUAUGUACAAUGUUAUUAAAAAAAUUAAAACGAGAAAAUAAAUUUGUUUUUUUUAAAUCUAAAAAUGUAUAUGGUAGUUUAAUUGAAAAGAAAUUUCAGAAAACAUAAAGAUUGAAAACGCAUUCCGUACUACAAUGUAAAACUAGCAUAAACAAUGCAUGAUUUUCAAUAUGUAGUAGUAUAUUUAGCAAAAUCAAAUAAGAAAAUAUUGUUUAAUACAUCUUGAUUAAAUAUUACAAUUGAUUAUGUAUUACUAUCCUACAUUUGAGUCCUUUUUCUAAAGUUUUUGUCAAUAUCUAAUCCAUAAAAAAAAAAAUUAUGAUGAAGAAUAACAUGGGCAUGGCUGCGUAUGCUUACAUAUUGGCUGACGUAUGCUUAGAUCCGUGGAAUUUCAAUACUCAAUUGUGCGAAACCUAGUGUGCUUACAUAUUGGCCGACGUAUGCAUCUAGUUCCCUGCGAUGAACGCCGUUAGCAUUAGUUACGCCGUUAGUACUAGCUAAAUUUUAGCUAAAAUGGAUAGAAAGCUAUUAUAGAAAAUCAUUUAAAGAUGUUUCCUCCAGUAAUGUUCUCUAUUUUGACUAAUCUAAAAUAUUUUAUUAUUAUUUUCUCUUUCUCUUUCUCCCUCUUUCUCUUGCAAAUCAAAUAUAUUAAAAAGAAAAGUAGAAACCCAACCCCCUCCCCCUCUCCCUUUUCUUUCUCUUUCUCUUUCUCUUUCUUUUCAAUUUGGUGAGCCUCCAUUUCUCUCCCCUCCUUGCUAGACGUAGAGAGCCAAAAGUUGGUUCUUCAAAAUAGAGAGCCAAGUAGGGAGUCUGUUGGAAUGAGGAUUUUCCUUCUUUUUGGACAUAAUAGCUAGAGAUGAGAGGAUAGGGAGUCUGCUGGAGAUGUUCUAAGACAAACCAAAGUGAGGUCCACUACCAUUUCCAUCAAUAGUAAAAACAUAUUGCAACAAGCGUUAGUUUAAAUUAGAGGAGAAUGAGGUUUCUCACACACAUUAGUAAAGUGUCAUGAAGAUUCAAAUAUGGAAUUCUUAAUAUGUAAAUCAAGAUUCUUUUUCACUGAAUUAGACCCCAUUAACAUCAUAAAGAGCAGAAUUAUAAGUGUUAAACUAUGCAUAUUGUCAUAUCAUACGUACGUGCAUACCUAACAUGAAGAAAACACACUAUAUGCUUCUCUUAAACAAUAAAAUAUCUAUAUAGAUAUUUCUUUCACGUACCCUCUUCUUUAUAAAUGAAUACCACCUCCACCGCUCAAAAUCAAACUUAGGCCAAAACAAACCAUGGCAUAAUUAAUUUAAUGUAUUUUGUUAGUUUUUAAUGUUGAUGUAUAAAAUGUAGUUGUCUGUGUCAGCUGCCAAAUAAAAUAGAUUUAUCUAGUACGCAUAGCAUUACCCAUACAAUAAAAUAUCUACGUAUAUCUUUCCCCAUACAAAAAUCUAUAUGUAGAUAUUUCCUUCCCGUACCCUCUUCUUUAUAAAUAUAUACCACAUCCACCACUCAAAAUCAAACUUAAAAACCAACAAAAGCCAAAACGAACCAUGGAACAAGGCAUCUUCUUCUCCACAACGUCCCUCUCUCUUAUCUUCAUCAUAAUCUUCAUUUUCCAGUUCUUUCUUAAAACAAAACGACGACGUUACACAAACCUCCCACCAAACCCUUUUUCUCUCCCCAUCCUAGGCCAUCUCCAUCUCCUAAAAGCCCCGGUCCACCGAACCUUCCACCGCCUCUCUCAAAAACACGGCCCUAUUUUCUCUCUCUGGUUCGGUUCGCAGCGCGUGGUCAUAGUCUCAUCCCCGUCCGCUGUCCAAGAGUGUUUCACAAGAAACGACAUCGUUUUGGCAAACCGUCCUUCACUGCUCCUAUUCAAGCACAUAGGCUACAACAGCACGACCAUCUCAACCUCUCCAUACGGCGACCACUGGCGCAACCUCCGCCGCAUCGGUGCCAUCGAGAUUUUCUCCUCCGCUCGACUCAACACAUUCGCAAACACACGAAAAGACGAAGUCAGACACCUCAUCUGCAAACUUGCACAAAACUCGGUGCAUGAGUUUGCGAAGGUGGAGUUGAAGUCUAUGUUCACUGAGCUAACCUUUAACAUCAUAAUGACAAUGGUGGCGGGGAAGAGGUACUAUGGGGAUGACGUGUCGGUGGACAAGGAAGAGGCCAAGCAGUUCAGGCAGAUUAUGAAGGAGGUUUUUGCUCAUAGUGGGGCAGUGAACCCAGCAGAUUUCUUGCCCAUUUUGAAUUGGAUUGGGAGCAAUGCUUAUGAAA